rnacentral:rRNA from 1 species
AUGGAGGAGGAGGAGGGGCGGGCCGGCCUGCGGGAGCUCGCGCGCUUCCCGGACGUGAUGGUGGUGUGCUCUUCGGCCGGAUGGACGGACCAGAAGCACAUGCUCUACCUAGGCUUGUUGCAGGAGUCGUUCGUGAACCGGUUACACGACGGUGAAAUCAGCUUCAGGGGCCUCUUCGAUCUCUCCCCAGGACCAGGAGCUUCAGGGCCCAAGCAACCGUCCAAGGUUGACAGAGCAAAGGUUGAGCCGGCCAGAACGCCUUGCUGUGGAAAUCAGGGAGAUGGGGAAGUCCAUUCCAUGGAUGAUGAUGAUGAUGAUGAUGCAUCGUCCACUGAGACCGUGCAAGAGUCCUGCUCCCAAGCAAGCGCGACGAGCUCUGGACCAUCUUCCCCGUGCCAUUCUGCCAAGCGCGGGCGCUCCCCUUCUAGCACUGCAGAGGGGUCGGAUCAGAACUUCAUCGACGAGGAUACGAUCACGAGAGAAACUGGCGAAUCAAGAGGACGACGGCGCAGCAUCAAGCGACUCAAAGUCUGCUGA